AUAGUCCUAAAACAAUAAUUAUAUUAAAUUCAUUCCUACAUAGGAAGUAAUAAAGUUUAAUAAAUGAACUUUAAUUAAAAUGGUAGUAUAAGUAAAGCUAUUAAUAAACUGUUUAAUAGUAAAAAAUAUCAAGAAAGGAACUCGGCAAAAAAGAACAAAGACUGUUUAUCAAAAACAUAGCCUCCUGUAACAAUAAGAGGUAUUACUGCCCAAUGAAAGAUAUUUUUAAUGGACUCGUUGGGGUUAAAGUAGCGUGAUAAUUUGUCCUUUUAUUGAGGACCUGUAUGAAAGUAAAAACGAGGUUCAACUGUCUCCCUUGAUAAAAUUAAAAUUAUUUAACAAGUGAAAAUACUUGUAUAAAAUUGAAGGACGAUAAGACCCUAUAGAGUUUUAAUAAAACAUCUUCAACCUUAAAAAAGCUUGAGAUGGGAGUUUUAGUUGGGGAAACAUAGGAGCAUAACUCUCCUAUAAAAAUAAUUUUAUAUAUAAAAUCAAUAAAUCCUCCAAGAGCUAAAGAAAAACUACCUUAGGGAUAACAGCGUAAUCCUUCUUAAGAGAC
rnacentral:rRNA from 1 species